rnacentral:lncRNA from 1 species
CCAUUCUUCAUGUGCUGAGGUCCUAGGGUUCUGAGGGGUUCUCAUGCAAGCCAAGGAGUUCAACUCACUAGAAUUCUCUGGACAUGGGGGCAGGUUUUUGGAGGCAACUGGAAGUGGAGGAAAAUGGUUGUCAACUCAAACUGCUCCCAAAUAGCAAUGAUCUUAGGACCACAGACCAUUCAUCCAUCAACAGACAAGAGAAUAGAGAUGAGGAGAGAAAGGUCUCCUCUCCAAGGAACUUCCUGACAAACACACAGAUGUCUACCGUGCAGCGGAGGCAAGAAUUAGAGGAGAGGCCUGUGCCCUUGCUGGAAUGGAGAAUGUGAAGCCCAGGUAAGUCCACCUGCCAGGAGAGCAAAAAUAACAGACAAUGGCAUUCUAGGCAGAGAAGAGGAUGGAUAUCUAUUGUGUACAGUUUUAUAGCAUAUAUAUGUAUAAUAAAGGAAAUAAAGGCGUAGAAGCAAGACGGAGCAUGGGGUGUUAGAAAACAGCACGGAAUCUGACAUAGCAGGCACCCAAAGUGAAUGUAAGGGCAAGAGCGGCCCCUGGAGGUGGGCAGGGCUAGGCCCUGAAGGUUCCGGUAGGCCUCUGUCUCAGGUGGGCUCCCCUACAGUCAGCCCCCGGAGACAAGGUGAGUGGACUAGGGACAGA